rnacentral:rRNA from 1 species
AUACGGAGGGUGCCAGCGUUAUUCGGAAUCAUUGGGUGUAAAGCGCGUGUAGGCGGUCUGGAAAGUCAGAUGUGAAAGCUUCGGGCUUAACCCGGAAAGUGCAUUUGAAACUCCCAGACUUGAGUGCUGGAGAGGAAGGUGGAAUUCCCAGUGUAGAGGUGAAAUUCGUAGAUAUUGGGAGGAACACCGGUGGCGAAGGCGACCUUCUGGACGGACACUGACGCUGAGACGCGAAAGCGUGGGGAGCAAACAGGAUUAGAUACCCUGGUAGUCCACGCUGUAAACGAUGGGUACUAGGUGUAGGGGGUAUUGACCCCCCCUGUGCCGAAGCUAACGCAUUAAGUACCCCACCUGGGGACUACGGCCGCAAGGUUAAA